rnacentral:rRNA from 1 species
GACGAACGCUGGCGGCGUGCUUAACACAUGCGAGUCGAACGGAAAGGCCCUGCUUUUGUGGGGUGCUCGAGUGGCGAACGGGUGAGUAACACGUGAGUAACCUGCCCUUGACUUUGGGAUAACUUCAGGAAACUGGGGCUAAUACCGGAUAGGAGCUCCUGCUGCAUGGUGGGGGUUGGAAAGUUUCGGCGGUUGGGGAUGGACUCGCGGCUUAUCAGCUUGUUGGUGGGGUAGUGGCUUACCAAGACUUUGACGGGUAGCCGGCCUGAGAGGGUGACCGGCGACAUUGGGACUGAGAUACGGCCCAGACUCCUACGGGAUGCAGCAGUGGGGAAUAUUGCACAAUGGACGGAAGCCUGAUGCAGCAGCGCCGCGUGCGGGAUGACGACCUUCGGGUUGUAAACCGCUUUCGCCUGUGACGAAGCGUGAGUGACGGUAAUGGGUAAAGAAGCACCGGCUAACUACGUG